GAAUCUUAUGGGCAUGUGUUGUCCUUCACAAAUCCCCCUGUUCAUCCCCCUGAUUGUCCUUCUGUGGAUUCCCUUAAUCCCAUUGUCGUCACUCCACAGCGAUCGCCCACCUAAGAUUGGCUGAGACUGCCAAGAAAGGCAGCGGCGUGUCCAGCAUGUAAGAGAACGGCCGCAAACUUUUAUGUUCUAAACCACUGCACUUAAUGCGGAAUUGACGGCUCCCGUGUCAACUGCAGUGCAGCUCAAGUGCUGGAGCGUUCCGGUUUUGCUCACACCUGAUUGAGGCAGAAAGAGAGGAAAAAAACUGCACUGAUUUUACUCAUAUACGAGUGAUACAAUUUAUGUGAAUGUGAUAUGUUGUAUCUAGAUUGUUCAAAGUUAGAUUCUGUUCAAUCUGAUGGAACCUAAUUAGUAUCUCAAAAUUAUUUUUUAUUGUUAUAACAGUUCUUUAUAGAAGUAAUUGGAUGUCCCAAGGACUCAAGUUACAUGUCUUAUAGAAUUUAGAGCAUGAAUCAUUUGAGAAUCCAAUAUAGUUCAAAGAAUGGGAAAGUAGGAUGACAAAUGGAAAAUUUGCUGAUUGAAAAGCUGUUAUUCAAUGUUAUGCUGAAAACUAUGCCAUAGAUUCUAUACUUUAUACAAGAUUUGUGUUGCUUCAGUAACAAAAUUGUGUACUGCAUUAUGACUACGAGUGUACAUCUCUUAAGUACACUUUUUUUAAUUUUAAACACUAAUUAUCUCUCGGGUAGGAGUUCUAUCAAUUUGCUCCAUAGAUACAUCAGUAAAUUCUGACAGAAUCGUCCUGAAUUCAUCCCCUGAAAAUGUUUCAUUCUCCAUAAGCACAUCCUCAAGCUUAUCAAUGGCCUCCCUAUUAUUCCUAAUGUGAUUCUUUGUGAUCUCAUAAGCACUUUCAAUUAUAUUUCUCACUAUUUAUAGAGGUCAAUUUCUUAGAAAAAGUUACUACAUUUUGUAAUUAUAUCUUAUUAUUAAGAUCUUACUUCAUUACACACAAUUUUGGAUAUGAUUGUAUCAAAAGACUAGUGGUUCGCGUUUUAGAAUACAAUUAACCAACAUAUUAACUAAUCAAUGCUGAUAUAUUGGAUAGAAGUUGUAUGUAAAUUUUUCAUUUUGUCUGCUUCGAUCACCGUAUAUUCUAAUAAUUACAUAGUUCCCUUUUGACCUGUCUCGCUCUCUUUUCUGUCUAUAACUCAUUCCAUUCCCUAGAUCAGGGAUUAGCACACCCUUACUUCCGGAGGUAAGGCUUCCGUGCUCCGGAGGGAACCCCUUACCUUGUCCCACUUGUUCCACUCACUCUCAAAGGCGACUGUUGGUGAACUUCUUAAGCAAGCCCUCGGCAUCAAGGCAAGGCUUAAUAAUAAUAAUAAUAAUAAUAAUAACUAGGAAAGCUUGUCGUUUAAUGUAUGCAAAAUCCUAAAAAAUCUAAUGGUGCGUUUAUUUCAUGAAAUGAGGAAUGUGAAUGAAGGAAUAUGAAUGAAAUCCAUGUUUACUAGGCAAAAUGUAAUUUGGGAAUGAGAAUAAAAUAUGUGGGUCCCACACAAUUUGAGAAUAAGGAAUGAGAAUCUCAUUCGCAUGGGAGGGUUGGGAAUGAAAAUGAAAGAAUGAAAAUGGAAUAUAUGUUUACUUUUGUAUCCCUAUAAUUUUUUCAUAUUUCCCAAAUUACCCUCAUUCAAAUCACAAUUAAUUUUAUUAUUUUAAAUGUCAUUAAUAAUAAUAAUAAUUAUUAUCAUUAUUAAAUUUUAUUAACUUUAUUAUUUUAGUUAUUAUUAAUUAUUGUUAUUAUUAUUUUUAUUAAUAAUAAUAAUAACAACAAAAAUAAUGAUAAUAUUGUUAAUAAUGAUAAAUUAAUUAUUUUUAUUAAUUAUUAUUUUUAUAUUUAUUUUUUAAUAAUGAUAAUAUUAAUAAUAAUAAUAAUUAAUAAUAACUAAAAUAAUAAAGUUAAUAAAAUUUAAUAAUGAUAAUAAUUAUUAUUAUUAUUAAUGACAUUUAAAAUAAUAAAAUUAAUUGUGAUUUGAAUGAGGGUAAUUUGGGAAAUAUGAAAAAAUUAUAGGGAUACAAAAGUAAACAUAUAUUCCAUUUUCAUUCUUUCAUUUUCAUUCCCAACCCUCCCAUGCGAAUGAGAUUCUCAUUCCUUAUUCUCAAAUUGUGUGGGACCCACAUAUUUUAUUCUCAUUCCCAAAUUACAUUUUGCCUAGUAAACAUGGAUUUCAUUCAUAUUCCUUCAUUCACAUUCCUCAUUUCAUGAAAUAAACGCACCAUUAGAUUUUUUAGGAUUUUGCAUACAUUAAACGACAAGCUUUCCUAGUUAUUAUUAUUAUUAUUAUUAUUAUUAAGCCUUGCCUUGAUGCCGAGGGCUUGCUUAAGAAGUUCACCAACAGUCGCCUUUGAGAGUGAGUGGAACAAGUGGGACAAGGUAAGGGGUUCCCUCCGGAGCACGGAAGCCUUACCUCCGGAAGUAAGGGUGUGCUAAUCCCUGAUCUAGGGAAUGGAAUGAGUUAUAGACAGAAAAGAGGGCGAGACUGGUCAAAAGGGAACUAUGUAAUUAUUAGAAUACACGGUGAUCGGAGUAGACAAAAUGAAAAAUUUACAUAUAACUUCUAUCCAAUAUAUUAAUAUUGAUUAGUUAAUAUGUUGGUUAAUUGUAUUCUAAAACGCGAACCACUAGUGUUUUGAUACAAUCAUAUCCAAAAUUGUGCGUAAUGAAGUAAGAUCUUAAUAAUAAGAUAUAAUUACAAAAUGUAGUAACUUUUUCCAAGAAAUUGACCUCUAUAAAUAGUGAGAAAUAUAAUUGAAAGUGCUUAUGUGAUUGAGGUAGAAAGAGAGGAAAUAAACUGCACUGAUUUUACUCAUAUACGAGUGAUACAAUUUAUGUGAAUGUGAUAUGUUGUAUCUAGAUUGUUCAAAGUUAGAUUCUGUUCAAUCUGAUGGAACCUAAUUAGUAUCUCAAAAUUAUUUUUUAUUGUUAUAACAGUUCUUUAUAGAAGUAAUUGGAUGUCCCAAGGACUCAAGUUACAUGUCUUAUAGAAUUUAGAGCAUGAAUCAUUUGAGAAUCCAAUAUAGUUCAAAGAAUGGGAAAGUAGGAUGACAAAUGGAAAAUUUGCUGAUUGAAAAGCUGUUAUUCAAUGUUAUGCUGAAAACUAUGCCAUAGAUUCUAUACUUUAUACAAGAUUUGUG
rnacentral:lncRNA from 1 species